rnacentral:rRNA from 1 species
AGAGUUUGAUCCUGGCUCAGAUUGAACGCUGGCGGCAUGCUUUACACAUGCAAGUCGAACGGCAGCACGGGUGCUUGCACCUGGUGGCGAGUGGCGAACGGGUGAGUAAUGCACCGGAACGUACCCAGUAAUGGGGGAUAACACAUCGAAAGAUGUGCUAAUACCGCAUACGCCCUGAGGGGGAAAGCGGGGGAUCGUAAGACCUCGCGUUAUUGGAGCGGCCGAUGCCGGAUUAGCUAGUUGGUGAGGUAAGAGCUCACCAAGGCGACGAUCCGUAGCUGGUCUGAGAGGGUGAACGGCCACACUGGGACUGAGACACGGCCCAGACUCCUACGGGAGGCAGCAGUGGGGAAUCUUCCGCAAUGGACGAAAGUCUGACGGUGCAACGCCGCGUGUAUGAUGAAGGUCUUCGGAUUG